GCCGGGUGCCCCGGAUGUAGCCCUGGCGCAAGCAUCUCUUCUUUUUUCCACCUCGCCUUCCGCGGAUUCCCAGCUUGAGAAACACCUCUUUGCCCCGUCAUGCCAAAGAGGAAAGUGACCUUCCAAGGCGUGGGAGAUGAGGAGGAUGAGGAUGAAAUCAUUGUCCCCAAGAAGAAGGUCAGGAGGCAGCCACACUCCCCAGCGAGGGGGGUGUUCGGAUCACACCCUUUAACCUGCAGGAGGAGAUGGAGGAAGGCCACUUUGAUGCCG
rnacentral:lncRNA from 1 species